rnacentral:misc_RNA from 1 species
GUGAAUCAUCAAAUCUUUGAACGCAUAUUGCACUCUCUGGUAUUCCGGAGAGUAUGCCUAUUUGAGGGUCAUUUGAAAUAAUAUAAAUUUCAAGAUUUCCCGGAAUUUAAAAUGGGUUGUCUAUUUUUUGUGGUCGCCUAAAUUCAAAGACAAACUCAUUUUCUUGGGUUGCGUGAUACUUUCAGUUACUUCGUGACUCAACCAGUAAUCAUCGGGCGUGUUAUGAAUUCUGCCAGAGAUAACA